rnacentral:rRNA from 1 species
UACGGGGGGGGCAAGCGUUGUUCGGAAUUACUGGGCGUAAAGGGCGCGUAGGCGGCCUUCUAAGUCGGACGUGAAAUCCCUCGGCUUAACCGAGGAACUGCGUCCGAUACUGAAAGGCUUGAAUCCGGGAGAGGGAUGUGGAAUUCCAGGUGUAGCGGUGAAAUGCGUAGAUAUUGGGAGGAACACCAGUGGCGAAGGCGGCUCACUGGACCGGUACUGACGCUGAGGCGCGAAAGCGUGGGGAGCAAACAGG